UACGUAGGGGGCGAGCGUUGUCCGGAUUCAUUGGGCGUAAAGAGCUCGUAGGCGGCUUGGUAAGUCGGGUGUGAAAUCCCCAGGCUUAACCUGGGAACUGCAUUCGAGACUGCAUUGCUAGAGUAGUGGGAGAGGGAAGUGGAAUUUCAGGUGUAGCGGUGAAAUGCGUAGAUAUCUGAAGGAACAUCAGUGGCGAAAGCGGGGUCUCUGGGCCGGAUAACUGGACGCUGAGGAGCGAAAGCGUGGGGAGCGAACAGG
rnacentral:rRNA from 1 species